AGAGUUUGAUCCUGGCUCAGAUUGAACGCUGGCGGCAUGCCUUACACAUGCAAGUCGAACGGUAGAGGGGCAACCCUUGAGAGUGGCGAACGGGUGAGUAAUAUAUCGGAACGUGCCCAGUCGUGGGGGAUAACGCAGCGAAAGCUGCGCUAAUACCGCAUACGAUCUAUGGAUGAAAGCGGGGGACCGUAAGGCCUCGCGCGAUUGGAGCGGCCGAUGUCAGAUUAGGUAGUUGGUGGGGUAAAGGCUCACCAAGCCAACGAUCUGUAGCUGGUCUGAGAGGACGACCAGCCACACUGGAACUGAGACACGGUCCAGACUCCUACGGGAGGCAGCAGUGGGGAAUUUUGGACAAUGGGCGCAAGCCUGAUCCAGCAAUGCCGCGUGCAGGAAGAAGGCCUUCGGGUUGUAAACUGCUUUUGUACGGAACGAAACGGCGAGCUCUAAUACAGUUUGCUAAUGACGGUACCGUAAGAAUAAGCACCGGCUAACUACGUGCCAGCCGCCGCGGUAAUAC
rnacentral:rRNA from 1 species